AUUGAACGCUGGCGGCGUGCUUAACACAUGCAAGUCGAACGAAGUGGCGAACGGGUGAGUAACGCGUAAUCAACCUGCCCUUCAGUGGGGGACAACAGUUGGAAACGACUGCUUAUACCGCAAACCGAAGGAGGGGAUUGCGUCUGAUUAGCUAGUUGGUGGGGUAACGGCCCACCAAGGCGAUGCUCAGUCGCCGGUCUGAGAGUAUGAACGGCCAAAUUGGGACUGAGACACGGCCCAGACUCCUACGGGAGGCAGCAGUGGGGAAUCUUCCGCAAUGGACGAAAGUCUGACGGAGCAACGCCGCGUGAGUGAUGACGGCCUGCGGGUUGUAAAGCUCUGUUAAUCGGGACGCGGUACCGGAAUAGAAAGCCACGGCUAACUACGUGCCAGCAGCCGCGGUAAUAC
rnacentral:rRNA from 1 species